UGGCAUUUGAAAAUCGAUCAGUUUUGGCACUUAAAAAGGGAAUUCUUGAAAUUUUCUACCUUAAGCAUGCAUCCCUAGGAUCCCAACAUCUGAUGUCUACAACUGUGCUGGACUUAGUUGUAUAAUGGCAGAUAAGCUGCAGUAUAAAAUCUUGUGGAAAAUAGUCAAAAUACGCAAUAGUGGCCCUGGCUUUUUGUGGCUUAUUAUCUAACCAAGAAACAAGGCAACAGUAUAAUUAUAAUGGGUCAUUCCAGAAAACAUCCAUACCUUGCCCACUGAGCAAUUUAGAAGGACGGCAGAAAUUUCCUCCGGUGAGAGGGUGGAUAUUUUUCUGGAAUGACCAUUAAAAAACUCAAUAAUUCAUGAAGACACAAAAGAAAUCAUGGGCGUGAAGGAGUCUGUAUAUAUGUG